rnacentral:rRNA from 1 species
CGGGGUGCACCAGGCGCGAAAACUUUACAAUGCUGGCAACAGCGAUAAGGGGACCUCGAGUGCCAGGAUACAAUCUUGGCUGUCGCGAUGCCUAAAAAGCAUUGCAUAGCAAGGGCCGGGCAAGACCGGUGCCAGCCGCCGCGGUAACACCGGCGGCUCGAGUGGUAACCGCUAUUAUUGGGUCUAAAGGGUCUGUAGCCGGCCGGAUAAGUCUCUUGGGAAAUCCAGCAGCUCAACUGUUGGGCUUUCAGGAGAUACUGUUCGGCUCGAGACCGGGAGGGGUGAGAGGUACUUCAGGGGUAGGGGUGAAAUCUUGUAAUCCUUGAAGGACCACCAGUGGCGAAGGCGUCUCACCAGAACGGAUCUGACGGCAAGGGACGAAAGCUAGGGGCACGAACCGGAUUAGAUACCCGGGUAGUCCUAGCCGUAAACGAUACUCGCUAGGUGUCAGCCACGGUGCGACCGUGGUUGGUGCCGUAGGGAAGCCGUGAAGCGAGCCACCUGGGAAGUACGGCCGCAAGGCUGAAACUUAAAGGAAUUGGCGGGGGAGCAC